CAUGAUUUCAAUAAGCUGUCGCAUGGGAAUGAGAAUGGAUUUCUGUGGGAUGUUGUCGAUCCUGGAUCAAGGGAAGCGCCAGAAGAUGGAUUACCUAAAGAAUGUACGCCUGAGGUGGGGAUUUUUUUAUGAUGCCCAGAGUAGUUGAUUUGAUUUAUUUGUUCAAAAACAUAGGUGACUCUUGGAUAAAGGGUAUGUGGGCAAGAAAUUUCCAGAUGAGGGUUAGUGGUUAUCUAGACAGAAACCACUCCUUUUAUGAAGUUUGCGAUGCACCAAGAUGUGGGAGUUAAAACAGUGAAGGAUAUUGAAGUUGAACCUGUGAACACUUCAUCUAAUUUUGUGAAUCAGCAACAACAGAAGCGUGCCAACUCUCCUAGUAUUUUGUAGGGCCUUGUAUGGAACUUCCACAAAUAUUCUGCAUGCCAAGUCUCGACAUUAGUUUCCUAUUUAUGCUUCGUAUGGUGUGUGCAUAGCGGAUGUUAUUACAUGCCUUGGAAAUUAAUGACCACUUGACUCGAGGUGGAAAUGUUCAUUUUUGCUACUUUGUAGGCAUGCCAGGCAUAGUGGAAUAGAUAAGUGAGGCCCUCCUUUUCGUAUAUUGCUUGAUGCAUUUCCUAUAUUUUUAUGCCUUUGUUUAACUUGUCUCUGAGAUCCAUUGUUGGAUUUCCAUGAAGCAGUGAUUUUUCUUGGCAUUUUGGGACCGUUGCAUAUUUUCUUUGUCUAUCAUUAUGGUGCACGCAUUUUCCUGUGUUAUAUUGCUCGGAUUAUCUUUGGGUGUGCAUGUAAUAUUAGCAAUUUUAUUUUUACAUGAUGUUGAUGAUGUAAUUUCAAAUUCCUGGAAAGCAUUUUUCAAAGCCGUCUCACUUCCUAUCUAGUGGCCAAUUACCAAUUCAUUUCUGAUAGGCAAUUUUUUUGGCAAGCAUCUUUUAUCUCUGAUCGGAGAUGAUAGCAUCAAGAGGAAUUACUUGUAAAUUAGUGUAGGAAGUUGUUGUGAUUUUUGGAUAAAGAUUAGAUGAAAAACUUUGUGUACAAGAAAAGAAAUAUAGCCAUACCCAAGUGUGGGCAUAUGUUGACAAAAGCAAGCAAUCUUUCUCUAUAAAAGAGAAGAGAAUGCUGCUGAAUAUGCGAGUGGAGCAGAGAGAAAAUGUAAGCUGUUGAGAGGGGAAUUUAAGCCGCGAAAAUGAAGAAAAAAAAAAAGAGAAAGAACUUAUUUUAAAUGUAGCUCUGGUUGUGUAUCUCCUGUUUUAAUCUAUGAACUUAUGUUUCCCUUGGUUUUUGUCCUUGCUUUUUCUACUCUAUACUCUACAGAAUUUAUGGUUCUGUUAAUUUUAUGUUCUUGAGUUUUAUUUUGAGUUCUCCUCUCCAUCUCCUCUGUUUUUCAACCAUUAGUCAUGUCCAUGCCUUCCUGAUGUGGUUUCUCUUAAUUUCUUUUUUUUUUUUAUUUUUUUUUUUAAAUUUCGCUUUCCAGAUUGCCACGGUUUAUUCAGAGUAAAAUAACAAAGGAAGAAUUAACGCGUGGUUCACAAAGUCUUCUGUUUCCUCGGUAACAGAAGAAUGGAAAUCAUGUUUCAUGAAAGCAAUAUAAAAUUUUUCAAAUUUCAUGGGAAGUAGCAACUUAGUUGUAUGCUACAUGGAAGCAUGCAAAACCUAUUGAAAAAAGGUUACUGGCCUUGACGUGCGCCUUUUUUCGUGGUCUUGAUUUCACCAGAAGCCCUAAUUUGUUGAAAUUCCAAUGCCGUGUUGUAGUUAAACAACAUUGUUCUCUGUAAAUAUCUUGCGCAGAAGGAUGGGCUCCAGAGCCGGAAGCUUGUAUCCUGUUAAAAAUAUUUACAUUAUCUUAAUUUCAUCACUUUGGUUUCUGCAAAAAAUACGACAAAUUUCUUAUCCCUUCUCACCUCUGACCUCUCCCAAAACUCCUCAGAAGCCAAAUAAAAACAAUAGUCAAAGAUAUGUGAGAGGUAAGCAUUCAAAAUAUUUUCUAUAUCUCAAGGCA